rnacentral:rRNA from 1 species
CCUAACACAUGCAAGUCGAGCGGUAGAGAGAAGCUUGCUUCUCUUGAGAGCGGCGGACGGGUGAGUAAUGCCUAGGAAUCUGCCUGGUAGUGGGGGAUAACGUUCGGAAACGGACGCUAAUACCGCAUACGUCCUACGGGAGAAAGCAGGGGACCUUCGGGCCUUGCGCUAUCAGAUGAGCCUAGGUCGGAUUAGCUAGUUGGUGGGGUAAUGGCUCACCAAGGCGACGAUCCGUAACUGGUCUGAGAGGAUGAUCAGUCACACUGGAACUGAGACACGGUCCAGACUCCUACGGGAGGCAGCAGUGGGGAAUAUUGGACAAUGGGCGAAAGCCUGAUCCAGCCAUGCCGCGUGUGUGAAGAAGGUCUUCGGAUUGUAAAGCACUUUAAGUUGGGAGGAAGGGUUGUAGAUUAAUACUCUGCAAUUUUGACGUUACCGACAGAAUAAGCACCGGCUAACUCUGUGCCAGCAGCCGCGGUAAUACAGAGGGUGCAAGCGUUAAUCGGAAUUACUGGGCGUAAAGCGCGCGUAGGUGGUUAGUUAAGUUGGAUGUGAAAUCCCCGGGCUCAACCUGGGAACUGCAUUCAAAACUGACUGACUAGAGUAUGGUAGAGGGUGGUGGAAUUUCCUGUGUAGCGGUGAAAUGCGUAGAUAUAGGAAGGAACACCAGUGGCGAAGGCGACCACCUGGACUGAUACUGACACUGAGGUGCGAAAGCGUGGGGAGCAAACAGGAUUAGAUACCCUGGUAGUCCACGCCGUAAACGAUGUCAACUAGCCGUUGGGAGCCUUGAGCUUUUAGUGGCGCAGCUAACGCAUUAAGUUGACCGCCUGGGGAGUACGGCCGCAAGGUUAAAACUCAAAUGAAUUGACGGGGGCCCGCACAAGCGGUGGAGCAUGUGGUUUAAUUUGAAGCAACGCGAAGAACCUUACCAGGCCUUGACAUCCAAUGAACUUUCCAGAGAUAGAUUGGUGCCUUUGGGAACAUUGAGACAGGUGCUGCAUGGCUGUUGUCAGCUCGUGUUGUGAGAUGUUGGGUUAAGUCCCGUAACGAGCGCAACCCUUGUCCUUAGUUACCAGCACGUUAUGGUGGGCACUCUAAGGAGACUGCCGGUGACAAACCGGAGGAAGGUGGGGAUGACGUCAAGUCAUCAUGGCCCUUACGGCCUGGGCUACACACGUGCUACAAUGGUCGGUACAGAGGGUUGCCAAGCCGCGAGGUGGAGCUAAUCCCACAAAACCGAUCGUAGUCCGGAUCGCAGUUUGCAACUUGACUGCGUGAAGUCGGAAUCGCUAGUAAUCGCGAAUCAGAAUGUCGCGGUGAAUACGUUCCCGGGCCUUGUACACACCGCCCGUCACCCCCUGGGAGUGGGUUGCACCAGAAGUAGCUAGUCUAACCUUCGGGAGGACGGUUACCACGGG